ensembl:lncRNA
CUUGGGGUGAGGGCAAAAGUUAGAUGACAUAUAAAGACAUGUAAGAAGACCCCUACGGAGACAGAGAAACUGUGGGAAGGCCCAUGUGAUUAUUAGGUGAAUAAUUAAAAGAUCAAAGAUGGAAACAAUGCAUGUACAAAUAAUUAAGAUCACUUGUAUCAAGCAUGGGGAAUUCUGGUUUGAUGCAGAGGUGAAGGGAAUGUGUGGAAAUGGUGAUGUGAUUAAAAUGGAGCCCAUCAAUUAUUUUGGCUACAGCUGGCUUGUUGAGGGAAGAUCAGUGAGGAUGAGGAUGGUCCAGACAUACAAAACCCUGCAGAGGGCUGCAUGGGAGAGGAUACAGAAAUAGAGUGUGUGUGUGUGGGGGGGCAUCUUUAAAAACCAGCAAACUAGCCAGGUGUAGUGGCCAAUGCCUGUAAUCCCAGUACUCUGGAAGGCUGAACCAAGAGGGUCCCAAGUUCGAGCCCAGCCUGGGCAACAUAGUGACUUAGCAAGGUCUCAAAAUUUUAAAAGGCUGGGAACAUAGCUCAGGGUGAAGGUCUUGGAUUCAAUCCCCAGUACUGCAAAAAUAAAACAAAACCUAAAUAAAUAAGUAAAUAAAAGGCAAACAUAAUUAUCUUUAUGGAAUGUGACUUCUUACUUUUUUUCUCCCACAUCUUAAUGUGCUCAUUUCCUCUCCUGUCACUUUGAAGCCUGUCAUUUUUCAGGAUCCACUUUCAGGUAUUUCGGUCACUUCAACCUGCUUCUUCUUCAAGCCCUCAAUAUCUGUCCUUUACGCUGUUCUCAUCCUGCUUUUCCUCACUAGGCAUUCUUCUCCAUCUGGUACACCCAAUCAUGUUCAGAUGAAAUUCUUCUAGCCCACCUGUAGUUCACUUCUCAAAUAGCUUUUCAAGAACCCCAUAUCCAAUUUUCCUUUACCCAUAAACUCAUUACCCAAUCUUGUCUUCCUUCUUAAAACGCUUCCAUUUCCCUCUCUUCUUGGCUUUCCUUGGUAAUGGCCCCGCUUCAUGCCCAGUAACUGUUUCAAUUCCCACUCUUCUUUUUGCCUCAGAUUCUCCUUUUCUCUCUUUUUACCCCUUCAGUAUCAAUAACAUUGUGCUUAACUCUAAGUUUUCCUCUUUUAUUUUCAAUACUCUCUCGGCUUCAAUCUUUCAACUGCCUUAUUCACUGGGCUCUUCAUCUAUUUCAUCUACCAUGUCCUUCUCACCCAUAGAAAUAGAUCCACCAGUAAUAUCUUCUGUUUCAUGCAAGGCAUCUUCGUCAACUUCUCUUUCCUCAGUCUCUUCUAGCUUUUCAUCUCUCUCUUCCACACUCUCAAAAGGAAUUUCCAUCUUCUCAUUGGUAACUUCUAUCACUUUUUCAUCACUAGUAGCUUCUUGUAUUCUUACAAUGUUCUCUUCACUUACACUUUCCAUUCUUGAACCGUCCUCCAAAUUCUCCCCGCUAGAUCCCCAUUCCUCCACACCUGACACCAUUUUAUCACCAGUUCUCAAAUUUCCUCUGUUGAGCCUUAGUUUCUCUCGAUGCAUCUUUGACUUAUCUGCACUGGAUUUCUGCCUGUCUCCCCUUAAUACUGGCUUCUCAAAAGUGGAGCCUUGCCUCUCUGUCCUGUACAUGGGCUUCUCAAAAGUGGACCCCCGCCUCUCUGUCCUGAAUACUGGCUUCUCUAUAAUGGACCUACGCCUUUCUCUAAUGGGUGCCCGCUUCUCUCCAGUGGGCCUCCGUUUCUCUCUUUUGUACUCCAGACUCUCUCCACUUGAUCUCAGCUCUUCAUCCUGUCCCAGUUGAUCCCCUCUGGAUCUCAUAUCCUCUCCACUGGUCCCUACCUUGUCCUCCAUAGAACCCAACCUCUCUUCAGACUCCUUCCUAGACUCUGCUGUCACCUCCAGCCUCUCUUCAGACACAGAUCCCCUCUUAGACUCUGUCACCUCCAGCCUCUCUUCAGAUGCAGAUUCCUUCCCAGAUUCUUCUAUCACCUCUAACCUCUCUUCAGACACAGAUUCCCUCCUAGAUUCUUCUAUCACCUCCACACCAGAUUCAGCCCCAGUUUCCUCUCUGACUUCUUGCUUUUCCUCAGUUUCUCUUGGGCUGUCUUUCCCCAUAUCUGCAGAGGUCUGUGACGCACUCCCUACGCUGCGCAGUUCCUUCUCGUCUAUCUCUUUCUGACUAAAUUCUGACUUCUCUUUCAAGACCGUGGGCCCCAACCUCUCUUCAGACGCACACACCCUCCUAGUCUCUGCCGUCAUCUCUGGCCUCUCUUCAGACAUAAUCUCCCUUCUAGACUCUGCUAUCAUCUCCGCACUAGCUUCGGCCCCAGUUUUCCCUCUGGCCUCUUGCUUUUCCUCACUCUCCCCUGGGCCCUCUUUCCCCAGAUCUGGAGAAGCCUGUGAUGGACUUGCUGGGCUCUGCGGUCCCUUCCCAUCUAUCUCCUCCUGACUCACUUCUAAUUUCUCUUUCAACACCAUCUUUCCCACGCCCUCUGGUCUCCAGUCCUCAGGCUCAAGCUUCGGGUCCCCCAUUCUAGGCUUUGGCGUGUUUCUUUCCAGGGGCUCUAUCUUCUUCCCAAUCACAAUGAGCCCAUUCCAGGGCAUCCACAGUUUCUCCUCUCUCUGCACCUGAGUCCCCUUGCAAGGCAGCUCUGGCGGCCAACCCCUGCAGGCGGCGGCGCGGCCGGGUGAGCCUUGGCCGCGGGCCUUGCUGCGUCCCUUCGGCCUCCUAAACUGCUUAUUCUGGAGCUCCCUUGCAGCCCAGGGUGGAAACUUCAACGGAACACCUGUCUCCACAUAAAUUGCCUCCUGCCCUCGCCCCAGCCCGACAACCCCAUUCCG